rnacentral:lncRNA from 1 species
AGUGCAUCACUACAACAAAAACGGUCUAUAGCGACACUUUUAAAUGUAGGUACAUGUCAAAAAAUUACUGCUAGCUAAAAUUACCGACACUUUUAAAAAGUGUUGCUAUAUGUGGGGUCGCUAGGUAUAUAGUGACAGUUAAAGAGUGUCGCUAUAAUCUAGAAGAGUGCUACUAAUUUACCAACACUUAUUUAAACAUUUAGCAACCGCCAAAACUCUAUCUCGUUGGCUGCGGUGGCGGAGGAGGACGACAGGAAAGGCUCUUCGUCUAGAAUUCCAGUGGAUUGAGUGAAGAGAGAAAAAAAGAUGGUAAUUGAUUUUUCUUUUUUUUUUUCUUUUCUGUUUGUAAUCAGGCCAAAUAGACUGGGUGUGGUGGAUUAAGUAGAGUAAUCUUUUAUUUUUGGUUGGAUUGGGCUUUAUAUUUAGAUAUUAGUAGAUGUUUUUUUAAGUUUUAGCAUAAAUGGGACACUUACUCAAAAGUGUCCCAAACAUGUGUCCAUAUAACCUAAUUCUGUUGUAGUGAGGGGACCACUAUCAUCAUAACCGCACAUCCUUUCAUCCAACGGCCUAAAACUCAAUAGUACCAAGGGCUUGGUACUAUUGAUAGUAUAGUAGCAUAUAUAUAUAUAUAUAUAUAUAUAUAUAUAUAUAUAUAGAAUUAGGCUGGAAUACUAUUAGUAGUAAAANCAGUUUUAACGGUGUGGAUCGUUGAUUUAAACACCCGAAGAUCGAAAACGGGACUAUAGUACCGGAGCCCCGGUACUAUAGAUAGUAUAGGAGACUAGCUCUAUAUAUAUAUAGAGUAGAGCUACUAUGCUAUCGGAAGUAUAAAGUAGUUGGUGCUUCCGAUUUUUUAGCCCUUAGAUCAACUCCAUUGAUUAUUUCUAACCAUUGGAUUAAUAAUAUUAACCAAUGGGGACCACUCAACCCUAGGGGGACCAUUCAACCCUAAGGGGACCGCUAUCAUCCCAACCGUAGAAUUUUUUAUCCAAGGGCCAAAAAAUCGAAAACACCAACUACUUUAUAUUUCCGAUAGCAUAGUAGCUCUACAC